rnacentral:rRNA from 1 species
GACGAACGCUGGCGGCGUGCUUAACACAUGCAAGUCGAACGGAAAGGCCCUGCUUUUGUGGGGUGCUCGAGUGGCGAACGGGUGAGUAACACGUGAGUAACCUGCCCUUGACUUUGGGAUAACUUCAGGAAACUGGGGCUAAUACCGGAUAGGAGCUCCUGCUGCAUGGUGGGGGUUGGAAAGUUUCGGCGGUUGGGGAUGGACUCGCGGCUUAUCAGCUUGUUGGUGGGGUAGUGGCUUACCAAGGCUUUGACGGGUAGCCGGCCUGAGAGGGUGACCGGCCACAUUGGGACUGAGAUACGGCCCAGACUCCUACGGGAGGCAGCAGUGGGGAAUAUUGCACAAUGGGCGGAAGCCUGAUGCAGCAACGCCGCGUGCGGGAUGACGGCCUUCGGGUUGUAAACCGCUUUCGCCUGUGACGAAGCGUGAGUGACGGUAAUGGGUAAAGAAGCACCGGCUAACUACGUGCCAGCAGCCGCGGUGAUACGUAGGGUGCGAGCGUUGUCCGGAUUUAUUGGGCGUAAAGGGCUCGUAGGUGGUUGAUCGCGUCGAAAGUGUAAUCUUGGGGCUUAACCCUGAGCGUGCUUUCGAUACGGGUUGACUUGAGGAAGUAGGGGGAGAAUGGAAUUCCUGGUGGAGCGGUGGAAUGCGCAGAUAUCAGGAGGAACCACCAGUGGCGAAGGCGGUUCUCUGGGCCUUUCCCUGACGCUGAGGAGCGAAAGCGUGGGGAGCGAACAGGCUUAGAUACCCUGGUAGUCCACGCUGUAAACGGUGGGUACUAGGUGUGGGGUCCAUUCCACCGGGUUCCGUGCCGUAGCUAACGCUUUAAGUACCCCGCCUGGGGAGUACGGCCGCAAGGCUAAAACUCAAAGGAAUUGACGGGGCCCCGCACAAGCGGCGGAGCAUGCGGAUUAAUUCGAUGCAACGCGUAGAACCUUACCUGGGUUUGACAUGGAUCGGGAGUGCUCAGAGAUGGGUGUGCCUCUUUUGGGGUCGGUUCACAGGUGGUGCAUGCCUGUCGUCAGCUCGUGUCGUGAGAUGUUGGGUUAAGUCCCGCAACGAGCGCAACCCUUGUUCACUGUUGCCAGCACGUUAUGGUGGGGACUCAGUGGAGACCGCCGGGGUCAACUCGGAGGAAGGUGGGGAUGACGUCAAGUCAUCAUGCCCCUUAUGUCCAGGGCUUCACGCAUGCUACAAUGGCUGGUACAGAGAGUGGCGAGCCUGUGAGGGUGAGCGAAUCUCGGAAAGCCGGUCUCAGUUCGGAUUGGGGUCUGCAACUCGACCUCAUGAAGUCGAAGUCGCUAGUAAUCGCAGAUCAGCAACGCUGCGGUGAAAACGUUCCCGGGGCU